AAGAGUGUAGUUUAAUCAGGUAAAACAUGAAGCUUCAAACUUCACAUUUUCAGUUCGAUUCUGGAUGCUCUUG
rnacentral:tRNA from 1 species